rnacentral:rRNA from 1 species
GACGAACGCUGGCGGCGUGCUUAACACAUGCAAGUCGAGCGGAAAGGCCCUUCUGGGUACUCGAGCGGCGAACGGGUGAGUAACACGUGAGUAACCUGCCCCAGACUUUGGGAUAACUCACGGAAACGGGGGCUAAUACCGGAUACGACACAGGUUCACAUGGGGUCGGUGUGGAAAGUUAGUCGGGUUGGGAUGGGAUGGGGGCGUAUCAGCUUGUUGUUGGGGUGGUGGCAUACCAAGGCGACGACGGGCAGCCGGCCUGGGAGGGCGACCGGCCAAGCUGGGACUGAGAUACGGCACAGACUCCUCCGGGAGGCAGCAGUGGGGAAUAUUGCACAAUGGGCGGAAGCCUGAUGCAGCGACGCCGCGUGGGGGAUGACGGCCUUCGGGUUGUAAACCUCUUUCAGCAGGGACGAAGCGUAAGUGACGGUACCUGGAGAAGAAGCGCCGGCCAACUACGUG